rnacentral:rRNA from 1 species
GCUCAAAUUUGAAAUCUGGGUCUAUCAGGCCCCGAGUUGUAAUUUGUAGAAGAUGCUUUGGGUGCGGCCCCGGUCUAAGUUCCUUGGAACAGGACGUCAUAGAGGGUGAGGAUCCCGUAUGUGAUCGGUGGCCUGCGCCCGUGUAAAGCUCUUUCGACGAGUCGGGUUGUUUGGGAAUGCAGCUCUAAAUGGGUGGUAAAUUUCAUCUAAAGCUAAAUAUUGGCCAGAGACCGAUAGCGCACAAGUAGAGUGAUCGAAAGAUGAAAAGCACUUUGGAAAGAGAGUUAAACAGUACGUGAAAUUGUUGAAAGGGAAGCGCUUGCACCCAGACUUGCGCGGGGUUGAUCAUCCGGGGUUCUCCCCGGUGCACUCGGCCUCGCUCAGGCCAGCAUCGGUUUCGGCGGUUGGAUAAAGGCCUUGGGAAUGUGGCUCCUCUCGGGGAGCGUUAUAGCCCUCGGUGCAAUGCAGCCUACCGGGACCGAGGACCGCGCUUCGGCUAGGAUGCUGGCGUAAUGGUUGUAAGCGACCCGUCUUGAAACACGGACCAAGGAGUCUAACAUCUAUGCGAGUGUUUGGGUGUCAAACCCAUCCGCGUAAUGAAAGUGAACGGAGGUGAGAACCCUUAAGGGUGCAUCAUCGACCGAUCCUGAUGUCUUCGGAUGGAUUUGAGUAAGAGCAUAGCUGUUGGGACCCGAAAGAUGGUGAACUAUGCCUAAAUAGGGUGAAGCCAGAGGAAACUCUGGUGGAGGCUCGCAGCGGUUCUGACGUGCAAAUCGAUCGUCAAAUUUGGGUAUAGGGGCGAAAGACUAAUCGAACCAUGAGUAGUUGCUAGGUGGUUAAGAGGCGGCCGUAGUGGGCCGCCUAGUCCUGGGUCCAGGGCGACAUUGUCAAAUUGUUCGGGGACGUCCUGUCAAUGUUGAGCUACCGCAGCCUGCCG